GAUGAACGCUGGCGGCGUGCCUAAUACAUGCCAGUCGAGCGAACGGACGAGAAGCUUGCUUCUCUGAUGUUAGCGGCGGACGGGUGAGUAACACGUGGAUCACCUACCUAUCAGACUGGGAUAAAUUCGGGAAACCGGAGCUACUACCGGAUAAUAUUUUGAACCGCAUGGUUAAAAAGUGAAAGACGGUCUUGCUGUCACUUAUAGAUGGAUCCGCGCUGCAUUAGCUAUUUGGUAAGGUAACGGCUUACCAAGGCAACGAUGCAUAGCCGACCUGAGAGGGUAAUCGGCCACACUGGAACUGAGACACGGUCCAGACUCCUAGGGGAGGCAGCAGUAGGGAAUCUUCCGCAAUGGGCGAAAUCCUGACGCAGCAACGCCGCGUGGGUGAUGAAGGUCUUCUGAUCGUAAAACUCUGUUAUUAGGGAAGAACAUAUGUGUAAGUAACUGGGCACAUCUUGACGGUACCUAAUCAGAGAGCCACGGCUAACUACGUG
rnacentral:rRNA from 1 species